UACGGAGGGGGCUAGCGUUGUUCGGAAUUACUGGGCGUAAAGCGUACGUAGGCGGCUUUGUAAGUUAGAGGUGAAAGCCCGGGGCUCAACUCCGGAAUUGCCUUUAAGACUGCAUCGCUUGAAUCAUGGAGAGGUGAGUGGAAUUCCGAGUGUAGAGGUGAAAUUCGUAGAUAUUCGGAAGAACACCAGUGGCGAAGGCGACUCACUGGACAUGUAUUGACGCUGAGGUACGAAGGCGUGGGGAGCAAACAGG
rnacentral:rRNA from 1 species